rnacentral:rRNA from 1 species
UACGGAGGGUGCAAGCGUUGUCCGGAAUCACUGGGCGUAAAGGGCGCGUAGGCGGCUCAUGAAGGCUGUGGGGAAAGUCCGGGGCUCAACCUCGGAUCGGCCGUGGCGACUCGUGGGCUGGAGCACUGUAGAGGCGGGUGGAAUUCCGGGUGUAGCGGUGGAAUGCGUAGAGAUCCGGAAGAACACCAGUGGCGAAGGCGGCCCGCUGGGCAGUGGCUGACGCUGAGGCGCGACAGCGUGGGGAGCAAACAGG